GGUGUUUACUGUCGAACUGAACACUCUACCGUUUACUGUCUGGUGGUGCUCUUCACCGAGUGUCACCAGUGGUCGGUACGUUUACUUUGAAAAAAUUAGAGUGCUCAAAGCGGUUUUUACACGACCGAAUACUGUUGCAUGGAAUAAUGAAAUAGGACUUUGGUUCUAUUUUGUUGGUCUUCGGAACCAAGGUAAUGAUUAAGAGGGACAGACGGGGGCAUUAGUAUUGCGACGCUAGAGGUGAAAUUCUUGGACCGUCGCAAGACUAACUAAAGCGAAAGCAUUUGCCAAGAAUGUUUUCAUUAAUCAAGAACGAAAGUUAGAGGUUCGAAGGCGAUCAGAUACCGCCCUAGUUCUAACCAUAAACGAUGCCAACCAGCAAUCAGCCUGUGUUCUCUUGAUGACACGGCUGGCGGCUUCCGGGAAACCAAAGUCUUUCGGUUCCAGGGGAAGUAUGGUUGCAAAGCUGAAACUUAAAGGAAUUGACGGAAGGGCACCACCAGGAGUGGAGCCUGCGGCUUAAUUUGACUCAACACGGGGAAACUCACCCGGCCCGGACACUGCGAGGAUUGACAGGUUGAAGCCCUUUCUUGAUUCAGUGGGUGGUGGUGCAUGGCCGUUCUUAGUUGGUGGAGUGAUUUGUCUGGUUAAUUCCGAUAACGAACGAGACUCUAGCCUACUAAUUAGACCGUGGCGUCCUCGUGCCGCCACGGCGCUUCCUAGAGGGACAGACGG
rnacentral:rRNA from 1 species